AGACAAAUGCUAUGAGGGUUCAGCUUAUGCAUGAGGCAGCUAUAAAGCUUUGGCUGACCUGCAGCAUAACCAUACUCUGAGAAAAGUAAGUCCAAGUUUAAAUUCAGGCUUAGAAAACAAAACAACCAAAAUUUAACCCAAGCACAGGCUCCUCAAGCUGAAGUUAAGGUGGUACUUGCAUCUUGCAUAAACUCAUUCUGCAGUUGAAGAAGCUGCCACUGGCUAUUCAGCCCUGCUGACUUCCAAGUAUCGAUACUAGCAUGCCUGUGGCUCUGCAAUUACCUAUAUUAGGAAACUGGUCUGGUCAUAAAUUGACUCAGAAAAAGGAGAUUCUGAUCAAAUCAGCUUCCUGAUGCAAGUUAUUGCAUUGCCAGAGUGCGCUACAUCUGGUGCAGAGGAAGUGCGCAGAUGACAGCAAGGCAUCAGUGGGCCCGCUGGGACCGCACCGCAUCCGAGGCAACUCCUGUCAAAAGCAUGCUGUCCUUAGUGGUAAACACAAAAAGACCCACGGUCAAUAUGUGGACUGAAAAAUUCAAUUAAGCCAAUGCAGCAUAUAGGGGGAAGUUACUUUGGAAUUGGUGAUUGCCAAUUUGCUUAAAAGUGAGAAAGAAAACAAAGCUACAAAGUGACACCAUUGCAUAUUUCUGUUAUACUCUUCCUGAACCAAAUUAAUCUCUAAUUUAGUUUGCUAAAAACCAAACAGACAGACAAUUUUAAUACCGUGAGCACAGUGUUCUCACAAAGGAGCCUUGACACAAUGCUUUAAUCCAGUUUAACUAAACAUGUUCUGAAUUUAGCCAGCGCUGGACAUUAAAACCCUUCAAAAUCUCCCGGAUAGUCGCACAGCGGCGUUGAGCAUACCACUGAAUGUCAGUAUUGUUCCACACCAAGGCAGCCCAAACAUAUGAAGGUGAUCAGCUGUAAAGCUUAGAAUAGUUCUCUGUACAUUUUAAUAUGGAUACAAUAGUGUAUCUGUUACUGGCCGUAAACCCCCAUUACCCAGUGUGUGCACCCCAAGCUGGGUGGGGGUGUUCAGCCCAGGGCCGACCUGCAGCGUGGCUGACACUGCCCCCAAGAAGGAUCCCACAGUGGUUUCAAGCCCUAGCAGUUGUCCUGCUGUAAAUGUUCACACUGGUUCUAGGUCAGAAGCCACUGCUUUGUUACGCUGCAUUUCCAACGAGCACAGCCGUGCAGCACGCCAACAUCAUUGCCACCUACGCGUGGCCACGCUGCCCCUGCUCUGCCUGCAGCCAGCUCCCAGCUCGAGAUGUGGCUGCUGGCAGGGCCUCUUCUCUGGCAACAAAUCCCACUCACGGUAUCAGACCGUGCCCUAUGUGCUGUGGAGGGAGGGCCUGCACAGCCAGAGGGCGUUGUCGUUGGACCCCUGCCCCUAUUUACUCAUCGGCCCCAGAUGCCCAGAUGCCAGCUGUGUUCGUGACUUUGUGCGGCCUUGGGGUGAAGUGGAAAAGCAAACUGACCCAGGGGGCCGUGCAUGGCAGAUUAUGGCCUUACAGCAUCUGUGGAAACCGAGAAGUAAAUUCCCACCUAGCUGCCUUCCCUAUCCCCUGGUAUGUGUUACAGGAUGUCUCAUGAUACAUAAUGAUUUUGCUUUUAGAGCAAGAGUUCCCUUCACAACCCCUCACAUACUCAUUCCUCCUUCACAGGCUUUAGCAGUAUGCUAAUGAGAAACUUAAUUAGAAGUGCUCUGGAAAAUUGUAGCUCUAGCCUUGCAGCUUGUAUACGUGUUCUGCCCACUACCCACGGGCACACAGCCUGCUCCCUCGGUAAGCUGGUCAGCUCUCUGCCAGUGCUGACCAUAAUAAAGCAGCUCGUAGAGCAAUGCAAGACUAACCCAUUUCAUUUAUUCCACAUGCUGUCAAACAACUGGCACCAGCCAGAUAAAGAUGGAUUUGAUGUUGUUUACCUUGCAGUUGGUACUACUACAAAAAUAUCAUUUAUAAGGUACGAUUUAACAAAAAUUACCUACAGUGCUUCCAAUACCGAAGAUUUCCCAGCUACUCUGUUUUUUGGCUGCCAGACUUCAUUUAAGAUGUGUAGACAUCCCUGAGUUUUUCUCAUUAUCUAACCUUGUCCUUCUACCCCGUCAGAACUUGAGAUUUGCAAAGAAAAAAAGAUUAGAAAAGCUAAACGUAAGAAAUCACUCUAGUAACAGUAAGAUUCCUCACACCAUUAGGUCAAGUAAAUACCAGUGGGCAAAGAGCAAAGCUUAGGAGCUGGGACACUUUGAGGGUAAAGGUCUUGAAUCAAAGUCCAUCAGUUUAAAAUACAGCAGCAAAAAACCACCACCAGAAUUUAAGAACCAGGGGAGUGCCUCUGCAGCAGUGGACACAUAUACAUACCACUUUGAGAGAGCAGCACACAAACACCCGAUGCAAAAUAAAGGAUGUCCCUCAAAAGGACGUGCUUCCCAUCUCGCUGCUUCUAGGCCUACCUAAGAAGCAGACUGAAGGACUUUGUGGUUUAUUAUUUGCAUCUUUAGUUCAGAGGAAGACAUUCCAGCCCUCGCUCCCAUCCUUGUUAAGGCUCUGACCUAGGAAAUUCCUCACGGCUCUAUAGGGUCUUUUUCACUCUACCAGAAUAUGAAGUCCUCAAAGAAGAAAAACAUCUGGACUGAAAUCACAGCAGGCUUACGAGACAAAUGUGGAGCUCAUUGGAAAGCUGGAAUGGCUGUGAUCAUGGGAAAAACACUGUCUGUAUGUGCUUGUCCUUAGCUACAACCAAGUACUCUAAAAUUUAACUAAUGCAGAAAUGCUGCUGCCAGCUGCUUUUCCCCGACGCUGAGCUGAAUUACAGCCAGAACUCUGAAAACCAGGACCUGAGCGAUUUGUCACUGACCUCUGCAAUGCCCUUUGGAGCGUUACUGUACAGGGCUUGAUAUGGAACCAUCACUGGAAAAUAUUCCAGAGCUCCUACAUCCCCUGCAUCUGGCGGAGCUGCUCCAAAGGACACAAGGAUUAGUGGGAGCGGACUGCCUGAGCCUCUGCUAUGUAUCUAUGGAAAUGAACUUCUAGCAACAAGCCCUUAAGAGAAUGGAAAGUAAUCAAAUGCUCAAAGUAAUCUGGAGAAACAAAUAAGCUCAAAUAGAUGAUUCUAUUUCUACUUCAAAAUUAGUAUUUUUGUCACAAGCAGCUGGUCGGUAGUUUAAGCUAGCUUUUUCCAAUAAAUUCAAGAUAUGUCACAAACGUGCCAUAGAUGUGGCAAAACCUAACAACUUUUGCUUCCCUCCUCCCCAGCCCCAUUCACUGACUCUUAAAAUAGCAAACCUAAUGAGGAGAAGUCCUAUCAAAAACUUCAGUGACAUUUACAAGACAGCCAAUGUGACAGCUCUGAACAUACAAUUAGCUGGACUAACCCUGCUACAACAGCAGUAGUUGUGAGCCUCAGAUCUUACUAAAAUGAGAACGGUCUGUAAUUUCAAGGUUUUAUGUUUUUAUUUUUUGGAAUGCUCCUAUCGCUGGUAGCAUACUGAAGCUGUCAUUAAUCUUCUCAUGUAUAAGAUGCCCACAGCUUAAGACAUCUACACAUUAGGGUGAAAAUGUAUUUGCAUCCCUUCUAAAGAACUGCCUGGUGUUUUUCUUUAUUACUCAAGCAAAACUCCCAGAACCAAUUCAGCUGUCACCUAACAGCAUCAAGUGCUAGUGUCUGUGCAAUAACCACUUAGAUGUACAUCUCAUAAGCAAAAUCAUCCCUAUUAAAGACGAAACACUUUGCUUCCCAGAUACUCAGUGUACAUUUAUUUAUCUCCCCUCUUGUUUAAAAUCUUGUUACUGACUUUCUGGAACUGACUGUGAAAGGAAGCAGUUCACAGAGAAUACUCUGACGUUGUCUUAAGUCAGUAUUUAGUGUCCAGAACAGCCUCUCCAACUUCCUCUGUAUUUACACCAAAAAAAAAUCACAUCCUGCAUAACAAUUUGUGCAGCAUUUCAUCUGACUGAGCAAGUUUCCAAUACUAUAUUUGCAUGGCGCCUCUACAAUUCAGUAUAAAUCUUCUAAAUGCUGGCAAGCUUGUUCCAUCUCUUGCCAACAAAACAAUAUUAGAUUCAGAAUAAUCAAACAAUAUUAGAUACUGAAUAAUUGUGGUUCCAUUUGAGAUCUGCAGGAACAGAAGGUUUCACUGUAAAAGCUGAAAACCCAAUAACGUUUCCCAGAAAAAAAUAAUAUUAAAAAUUCAUUGCUGAAACUACAUUUUUACAUGAAGAUGGAGCAUUUCUAAUACAAUUUAUGUCCAAAUCGGUGAAUCUAGGACUACUAAUGGACCAUUUAAGAAAUUCACUCUCUGAAAGCAUUAGUGAAUAAAGACAUAGAGAGGACCAAAUUGCCAUAGUAAGGUCAAUAUCUCGUCACCAGGAGUUUCAGGAACAGAUCGAUAGGAUUGUUGGGCUCCGAGAACCACCAAGAACUUUGAAUGGCCAAGGCAGCAGGAUUCGAUCACAGGACACAAAAGCCUCAUCUCAGUAGUUAUUUGGGAAAAUGUUUUCUGACUUGCUCUUCCAGUUCACUGCUCCAGUACCUCUGACAGGCUGCAGUGAGGGUGCCACCAGCUUUAUGCCACUCUUUUUCAUGGGCUCUAUUUUAAGAGGCACUCAAGGUUCACGAAAGGACAGCACAGGGCCACAGAGCCACGCACUACUGAAAUACUAGACCUGAGCCAAGAAGCACCUCUGCAGCCCUGCUGUAAAUGACAGCUCUCACUAACAUACGUGUACUCUGACACAACUAGUCCAAAGUCCAAACGGUAAAAGAAGGCAUAUACCCAUUUUUAUUUACCUUCUCUUCCACAAGAGAACGGAGCUGUACUCUUUAAUUCUACCAUCGUAUCGGAUUAAAAUCAGGAUCCAGAAUUUUGAGCGUUAAAGAAUCUUCCAAGAAGUUCCGGCUAAAGAGCAGCCUCUUAUGCACAUACACUGAAUAAGCAUAAAAAAGAUACCACGCGUUUUCUGUGUAUUAAUUAAGUUUACUAUACAGUAAAGCUGUACAGGAAGUAAGUUGGCUGUAAAUAAAGCAAGAGGAAGAAA